AUGGGAUGGAUGCAGCUCUCGAGAAACCUGCAGCCUGCAAAUCCACACUCGCCUGUGAACCAGAGAGCUGCAGGGAGCUUGCCAGGAAGGAAAGUAAUUUUAGAGUGUGAUUUGGAAAAUGAUUCAGUUAAAAAAUUGCUAUUUUUGAAGGGCUACUUUCCACUGGGAUCCAGUCCACAGCAUAUUCACAGAAGCACUUGUCUUACUGCAGCAGAGCGUGGUGGAGGUGGGAGGAAGAAGGUCUGCCUGGGAGCUGGCAACCCCACACCUCAAAUCACCACUGGGAAAACAGCCCAUGGAAAUGCAUCCUCCUCCCACUUCAAGUCUUACCUGUAUUUGGCAGUGGGAUUUAAGGAAGAAGCAGACAGACAAAUAAAGGAACAGAAUGUGCCAUGAAAGAUAGAAAGUUGACCUUAAAAUGGAAUUUGCUCCUGAAGAUUUCCUUCUCCUAAAUGAGGUUUGUUUACAUUUUCAUUUUGACUCAUCUGCAUCUCUUCCUAAAUUACAUUGUCUUGUAAACCCAUAUUUUCUGAAGAUGAAUACCAUGCCCCUAUCAAAGUGUUCAUCUUUCAGAUGGAGGUGUCCUACUGUUUGAGGAGCUGCUUUUACUGUUUGACCAGAAAUGGGUCUAACACUACAAUUUCCCACUAGUAACAUAUUCUCCGCUUGUAACUAAACUUUAAAUAAACUAUGUUAGGGCACAAAGCCAUAGAAAGCAAGGCAGGCUUCUCAGCUUGUUCCCAGUCCCAUGCAAUGUGUGUCUCAUGGUUGUUACCCAGUGAGCACAAUAAAGUGAGGUGGUGCUGACAUUGUGUUCCUCAGAGCUUUAGUGCAUUGACCAAACUGUUCUCAGGUGUGAAGUACAGCCAGCAUGUGGAGUGUGUCCUAUCAACUGCAAUUUGGGACCUCUUGCAGGAAGCACAUCUAUUUUCUGAAUUACUGCAUAACAAAGGAGAUUUAAAGCAAGAUGUGCUAAGUUGCCUUCUAGACUCUGUAUAAAACCAUCUGAGUGGUCAGUGACUUAAAGUACUCUCUUUUAUGAUGUGAAAUGUUCUCAUAGCAAAACAAACAAACAAAAACUAUAGGAUGUCCUAGAAAUACUGUAAGUACAGUGUUACGUACAUAUGUUUCUAAGUGAUUUAUUGUCCUUAAAGCAGAAUUUCAGUCUUCUCUCUAGACAUCAUGUGCACAAAACAAAAUUGGUUUGUAAAAACAUUUGUACCAUAGUAGCUUUAUAUGAACGUUUCAUAGUUUAUUAAAUAACAUUUUAUCGUUUAGAUUUAUGUUGAUAUGGUUAUAUUUAUGUUACUAUAUUUAUAUUUUAUUAUUUAAUAAUGCAUUUUAUUAACAAGUAGCCUACAAUGUAUACAUUUUCCAAAAUGUAUUUUUAUAAAAUAUGGGACUUUACUAAUUCACUUUUUUUUUUUUUUUUUGAGGGGGUACAUUCUUAAACAUAUUUCUCUACUAUGAGAUGAAAUGGCAUAGAAAGUUGUAAAAUGUCCUUUGUUUUCUUCACUUUCUCUUGUAUUAUUACAACAAAAUCUUUAGCCAGAACACUCGUUCCUAAGCUAUAAGAAAUAAAACUUUCUGAUGUGGUUUUAGCUGUUGCUUUGCCAUAAUGCAGAUUAACCCCCAGGGAGUUACCAUAUAAGUAUCUAAGGACUGAUGAAAUGUGAAAGUGGAAACGCACAAGCAGACAGACCUGAUUUUCUUCAGGUCUUCAGAUAUAUGUAGUAGCAGAACUGGACCUAGAAUUUUGUAGGGCCACAGCCUAAAAUCAGUGACUUGCUUGGCUGUAAUAGACUGUACCAUUUUCAGGGCUUUUGCUUCUGCUUUAUACUGCCAUUUCCAUCUGCUAGCCUCUAUGAUACAUAAAUAGUCUCUAGGUUUUCUCAGCAUGCAUUAUUUUCAAUCAAAAUCCAAGUGGAACACUGAGCUUUCUAGUAAGCAACACAGAUUUUGUAUAUAAGAUUCAGUACGGUAUUUUUC
ensembl:lncRNA